UUGGUUGCCAAUUAGAAUCAGCUGGGGAGCGUUUGAACCCCCUCCCCCUCACUGCAAAACAAUCAAAUCAGAGUUGUCGCGGUGGGGCUCUGGCAGCAGCAUUUUUAAAAGCAGACCCUUGAUUUCCGUGUACCCUCAAAGCCGAGAACCUGUGCCGUGCGUUUCCUUAGGGAAACUGAGGCCCUUAUCAGGAGGUUUUUCUCUUAGGCUUAGUUCUCCCCAGGAAGAAUCUUCUAGUCUCCUGCCUGCUACGGAAGCGCUGGGAGAAGGGAGUCAAUUUGGAAAGACCACGGUUAACAACUCCCAGCUCGGAGAGAAGGCAGCCAGGUGACCUCACUCCUGGAAGCUGGGACUCCUGAGCCCCUCCCCCAGCACAGACUGACCUCUCUGAAGACUCCUGUUCAGCAAAUCCACACCCCCGGGACAACGUGUUGGAGACCAGGCCCGGCAUCCAGGACUUCUCAGGCCCCAGGCACAGCAUCAGCCCCAGGAGACAGCGCCAGGAGCAGAAAAUCUUUGGGAGCUGGAGCCAGACAGGCUUGGCUUGGAUUCUAGUUUGACCACUUCCCAGGUUCGGGGAGCACAGACGCCCUCGGAGCUCACUUUCUUGCCCGGGCUUUCCGGGCCUCCUCGAGAGGACGCCCUGUGCUUCGUGAGUGGUGCAAGCCCCCAAUCCUGGGCUUUAUCGGUGAUCUGUGUACCCCUCAGACUGCGUGAGGCCUUUCACUCAUUUCCUAGUUGUCCUCCGUUUUUGAUCCCCGGACCAGAGGUCCUGGCCACUCGACGGCUCUGCAGGCACCACGAUCCUCUGACCCCAGCCCAGGCCCUUUUCCCGUGUAGGCUGCUGCGGAGUAUUGACCAGACGUCCCUGUGCCACACAAUUAAGAAGGUGACGUUCAAAGAAUCUGAGUAACCCAGCCCACGGGACACAAUUGGUGUUAGAGCCACUUUUGUGUGAGUCUGAAACCUCAUGCUUCCCAGUGAAGGAACUUUCUGGAAGUUCUGACUGAACUCUGGAGGGAGUACUUUCUUUUUUUUUUUUAAAUUUUAAUUUUUAUUAAAAUUGAGAAAGUUGAAUUAUAGUUGAUUUAAAGUGUGAUCAUUUCUGUUGUACAGCAGCGUGAUUUGGUGAUACAUAGACACACACCCAUUCUUUGUCAGAUCCUUUUCCCGUGUAGGUUAUCACAGAAUAUUACGCAGAGCUCCCUGUGCUCUACAGCAGGCCCCCCUUGACCAUCCACUCCGUACAUGAUAAUGGCGUGCAUUUGCCAGUCC